rnacentral:rRNA from 1 species
UACGGAGGGCGCAAGCGUUAAUCGGAAUCACUGGGCGUAAAGCGUGCGUAGGCUGUUUGAUGAGUCAGACGUGAAAUCCCUCGGCUCAACCGGGGAACUGCGUUUGAUACUGUUGAACUAGAGUCCUGGAGAGGGUGGCGGAAUUCCUGGUGUAGGAGUGAAAUCCGUAGAUAUCAGGAGGAACACCGGUGGCGAAGGCGGCCACCUGGACAGGUACUGACGCUGAGGUACGAAAGCGUGGGGAGCAAACAGGAUUAGAUACCCCGGUAGU